UCAAGUAACACCUUGUUUCAAAAAAAAAGAAAAGAAAAAAACUAAUUGGAAAUUUCUGUCUAUUCCGAGCUCAACAAGAUUGAAGUAAGUUUUCGGGAGCUACAGAAAUUGAAUCAGGACAAGAGCGGUAGAGGACUGUACUCCAUUGAAGUGCUGGAACUCUUCUGAAAACAGGAGUUUUCCUUCGUGGACAUUUUAUGGAAUUCUCUCUUUUUUUUUUUUUUUUUU